CCGUUAAGUCCGGUGUCAAGCCCACGGCUCAACCGUGGAAAGGCGCCGGAUACUGGCGGGCUAGACGGACGGAGGGGGUAGCGGAAUUCCCGGAGUAGCGGUGAAAUGCGUAGAUACCGGGAGGAACGCCGAUAGCGAAGGCAGCUACCUGGACGUCCCGUGACGCUGAGGCGCGAAAGCGUGGGGAGCAAACCGGAUUAGAUACCCGGAUAGUCCACGCCCUAAACGAUGAGUGCUGGGUGUCGGGCUUUGGCUCGGCGCCGUAGCUAACGCGUUAAGCACUCCGCCUGGGGAGUACGGCCGCAAGGCUGAAACUCAAAGGAAUUGACGGGGGCCCGCACAAGCGGUGGAGCAUGUGGUUUAAUUCGAAGCAACGCGAAGAACCUUACCAGGCCUUGACAUGCCGGGAACCCCC
rnacentral:rRNA from 1 species